rnacentral:rRNA from 1 species
AACGAACGCUGGCGGCAGGCUUAACACAUGCAAGUCGAACGCCCCGCAAGGGGAGUGGCAGACGGGUGAGUAACGCGUGGGAACAUACCCUUUCCUGCGGAAUAGCUCCGGGAAACUGGAAUUAAUACCGCAUACGCCCUACGGGGGAAAGAUUUAUCGGGGAAGGAUUGGCCCGCGUUGGAUUAGCUAGUUGGUGGGGUAAAGGCCUGCCAAGGCGACGAUCCAUAGCUGGUCUGAGAGGAUGAUCAGCCACAUUGGGACUGAGACACGGCCCAAACUCCUACGGGAGGCAGCAGUGGGGAAUAUUGGACAAUGGGCGCAAGCCUGAUCCAGCCAUGCCGCGUGAGUGAUGAAGGCCUUAGGGUUGUAAAGCUCUUUCACCGGAGAAGAUAAUGACGGUAUCCGGAGAAGAAGCCCCGGCUAACUUCGUGCCAGCCGCCGCCGUAAAAC